rnacentral:rRNA from 1 species
CCGCCCUUUAGUGCUGCAGCAAACGCAUUAAGCACUCCGCCUGGGGAGUACGGCCGCAAGGCUGAAACUCAAAGGAAUUGACGGGGGCCCGCACAAGCGGUGGAGCAUGUGGUUUAAUUCGAAGCAACGCGAAGAACCUUACCAGGUCUUGACAUCUCCUGACAAUCCUAGAGAUAGGACGUUCCCCUUCGGGGGACAGGAUGACAGGUGGUGCAUGGUUGUCGUCAGCUCGUGUCGUGAGAUGUUGGGUUAAGUCCCGCAACGAGCGCAACCCUUGAUCUUAGUUGCCAGCAUUUAGUUGGGCACUCUAAGGUGACUGCCGGUGACAAACCGGAGGAAGGUGGGGAUGACGUCAAAUCAUCAUGCCCCUUAUGACCUGGGCUACACACGUGCUACAAUGGAUGGUACAAAGGG